rnacentral:rRNA from 1 species
UACAGAGGGCGCGAGCGUUGUCCGGAAUCACUGGGCGUAAAGGGCGUGUAGGCGGGCAUGCAAGUCAGGCGUGAAAUCCCUGGGCUCAACCCAGGAAUUGCACUUGAAACUGCAUGUCUUGAGUAUCGGAGAGGAAAGCGGAAUUCCUGGUGUAGAGGUGAAAUUCGUAGAUAUCAGGAGGAACACCGGUGGCGAAGGCGGCUUUCUGGACGAUAACUGACGCUGAGACGCGAAAGCGUGGGGAGCAAACAGG